GGGUGGGGAUCGUAUUUGUCAAGAGGAUACUACGAGUUGGUCAGCUCAUUGUUGAGGGUAGCUCUGCCACGAUGAUGUCCUGGCUGUAGAGCUACAUCCGUGGCGAAGUCACUCAUCCCCUACUGCAUGAUAUCUCGAUUUUGCUGGAAGGAUGUACUAUUCUGAUUAUUAGAUAUAUCUUUCGAGAGGCAAACACUGUGGCAAAUUGGGUGACAGCCUUUGUAGCUAAGUAUGACACCUUAAGGAUCGGGGUAAGCAGCAUUUUCUAAUUUUCUUGAUUGUAUUUGUGCAAGAAUUGUUUGAAUAAAUCUAUCUUAUCAAAAAAAAAAAA
rnacentral:lncRNA from 1 species